UUAGGGUUAGGAAAUCGGGUUCGGGUUCAGGAUCGGGUUUAGUUUUGGGUUUUCAAGUUUAGGUUUAGGUUAAGGAGUUGAGAUUAGGAUUUGGUGUAGGUUUAGGUUUAGGGAUUUGAGAAUACAUUUAGGUUUAGGUUUAGGAAAUCGGGUUCGGGAUCGGGAUCGGGUUUAGGUUUGGGUUUUCAUGUUUAGGUUUAGGUUUAGGUUAGGGAGUUGAGAUUAGGAUUAGGUGUAGGUUUAGGUUUAGGGAUUUGAGAAUACAUUUAGGUUUU